rnacentral:rRNA from 1 species
AUGAUCCGCCGCCGCGACACUUCACCCCUUGAAGUCAACGACAUCCUCGGGGAGAUCCUCCUGCGCCUUCCGCCCCAUCCGUCCUCCCUACCUCGUGCCUCCGCCGUCUGCAAGCGCUGGCGAGGCCUCCUCACUGACCCCGGAUUCUUCCGCCGCUUCUGCAAGCACCACCGGGAGCCUCCCCUCCUCGGCGUUUUCCGUUGUGAUGAUCAGACCGAGUUCACUCCUGUCCUGGCCGCUCCCGACCUCAUCCCUCCUGUUCGCCUCCACCUGCCAAACCGCGACUUGUGUGGCCGACUGCUGGGGUGCCGCCACGGCCGCGUCCUCAUCUUAAACCAGAUAAAGACAGCGGUCCUCGUGUGUGACCCCAUCACUGGCGGCCAGCACCGUGUGCCGAUUCCGCCCGAGUUCAAGUGGGGCUAUAUCUAUGGGGCAGUGCUCUGCGCCGCCAGUGACCAGGGCCACGUGCACGGCGGUUGCCACUCCACACCUUUUAAGGUGGUCUUGCUGCUUAUGCACAAUAACCAUAGUCGACCUCUCGCCUCUGUUUAUUCUUCCGUGACCAACACAUGGGGCUGUCUGAUCUCAACAAAGGUUCAAUACCCAGAUUGUUUUGGCACUUGUAUUAGCACCCUUGUUGGUAAUAUAAUUUACUGGUCGUUUCCAAAUAUGAAGGAGGGUAUACUUGGGUUUGAUUUUGAAAGGCAGAUCCUUGAUGUGCUCGAGGGGCCUCCCAGUAUGUAUCGUUCCCACAACCAUCAGAUCAUCCAGGCAGAUGAUGGAGCAGUUGGUCUCGCCAUGUUGUUUUACGAUGACCAGAAUAUUCAAAUGUGGGAGAGGAAGGUCAAUUGCCAUGGUGUUGCCUCCUGGGUGCAGUGGAAGACCAUUGAAUUGCAUAAAAUUCUUGGGCUCCCUCCUCAGGUUGUAGGAGAGAAGUCAUCAUCGGAAUUUAUACGAGGACAUGUUGAGGAUACAGACAAGAUAUUUUUAUAUGUGAAAGGCAGUAUCUAUUUGGUUCACCUUAAGUCGAUGCAAUCUAGGAAGCUCUUUGAAGCCCCCAAUAGUAUUGCUUACUAUCAUUCUUUCAGGUCUUUCUAUGCGCCAGGUGAUUAUUCAUCUCUAGUCCUCAUAUGUUAUGUUUUAUUCGUGGAUGCUCGAAUACCAUUGCUAGAUACGUGA